UAAUGACUCUCGGCAACGGAUAUCUCGGCUCUUGCAUCGAUGAAGAACGUAGCGAAAUGCGAUACUUGGUGUGAAUUGCAGAAUCCCGUGAACCAUCGAGUCUUUGAACGCAAGUUGCGCCCGAGGCCAUUUAGGUUGAGGGCACGUCUGCCUGGGCGUCACACACA
rnacentral:rRNA from 2 species